AGAGUUUAGACUAAUCUGUUUACAAGUAAUGGACGUCAUCAACCAUUCGGCCAAUCACAGUCGUUUACGAUCACGUGAUUAAAGUAGAC